rnacentral:rRNA from 1 species
GCCGCCGGGGGGCUUACGCCCCCGGGCCCGCGCCCGCCGAAGACACCCUCGAACUCUGUCUGAAGAUUGUAGUCUGAGUGAAAAUAUAAAUUAUUUAAAACUUUCAACAACGGAUCUCUUGGUUCCGGCAUCGAUGAAGAACGCAGCGAAAUGCGAUACGUAAUGUGAAUUGCAAAUUCAGUGAAUCAUCGAGUCUUUGAACGCACAUUGCGCCCCCUGGUAUUCCGGGGGGCAUGCCUGUCCGAGCGUCAUUGCUGCCCUCAAGCACGGCUUGUGUGUUGGGCCCCGUCCUCCGAUCCCGGGGGACGGGCCCGAAAGGCAGCGGCGGCACCGCGUCCGGUCCUCGAGCGUAUGGGGCUUUGUCACCCGCUCUGUAGGCCCGGCCGGCGCUUGCCGAUCAACCCAAAUUUUUAUCCAGGUGACCUCGGAUCA